GUGGGGAAUCUUCCGCAAUGGGCGAAAGCCUGACGGAGCAACGCCGCGUGAGUGAUGACGGCCUUCGGGUUGUAAAGCUCUGUUAUAUGGGACGAACGGGCAUGGGGCGAAUACCCUCAUGCAGUGACGGUACCGUAAGAGAAAGCCACGGCUAACUACGUGCCAGCAGCCGCGGUAAUACGUAGGUGGCAAGCGUUGUCCGGAAUUAUUGGGCGUAAAGGGCGUGUAGGCGGCCAGACAAGUCUGUCUUAAAAGUGCGGGGCUCAACCCCGUGAUGGGAUGGAAACUGUCGGGGUAGAGUGUCGGAGAGGAAAGCGGAAUUCCUAGUGUAGCGGUGAAAUGCGUAGAUAUUAGGAGGAACACCAGUGGCGAAAGCGGCUUUCUGGACGACAACUGACGCUGAGGCGCGAAAGCCAGGGGAGCAAACGGGAUUAGAAACCCCUGUAGUCC
rnacentral:rRNA from 1 species